UGUUAAAAUUUUAUGGAAUCAAAUGAAACGGAAGUAAAGAGCAGCCAUCUUCUUAAAUUACUGGAUACGAACUAGUAAAGUACACCUAUCUUCUUAAAUUACUGGAUACACCUAAGAUAAUGCAUGUCCCCAUAGAGUUGCAACUGCCAAGCGCAUAAACAAGGGAAAUAAAAGGUGCAAAGGAAAAGUCAGUGGCAUAGACAUUGUUGAAGAGGUGAUCAUUUCAACGGAAUUCCCCUCUAUUUUCGCAUGAACAAGUGGUCAAUAUAUAUCCUCUCCUCCUCCAUAUGCGCUAGUUAAAUUACAUGCAAGCCCCUCAUUUCCUAUAUAUUAGUUUCAAGUUUCGAGUGCGUGGAUUAGUAUCCGUGUUACUCUGAAGGGGUUUUCUCUCUUUAAAGACUUUUCCUGAAAGCUGUCUGUUUGUCUGUCAAAGCAAGAAAGAAUUUUGUUUUUCCUAGCCCACUUUGAAGUUUGAAAGGUAGUUUUAUCUAAUGUCACAGUUAGUUACUGCCACUGCAUCAUUGGUUUUGCAAGUUCCACACCGUUGCUUCCAUUUUGAGCAGCUUGAUCGAGAGAAAUCUUGAUUUGUUUAAUGUAAUCGGAGCUUGUGGUUGGCCUGUCGUCAUAUCUUAUUCACAUCUAUGAAACCAAAAGUAAACCACUCUUCAAGCUCUGUGGUCGCUGGGUCCUUUUGGAUCAUCGGCAAUGUUUCGUGCUCUUGCUUAACCAGCUGUCCGGACAUCAAAGAUCCAACAUCUGCUUGGUUUGUCGGACCAUUAUUUUUCCGCAUUUACAAGACCUGUAUUCAAUGAACAUAGCUGUUAAUCACAUCUUAAAUUUAGUGUUUAUGUAACUUAAUUAAAUGACUUUGCUUUUUUGUGAUCAGGACAGGACACUGCAAUGACAAGUUAUCCAUCACUUCUA